rnacentral:rRNA from 1 species
AAGGGCACCACAAGAACGCGUGGAGCAUGUGGCUUAAUUUGACCCAACGCGGGAAAUCUUACCGGGUCCGGACACGCUGAGGAUUGACAGGUGUUUGUGUAAAAAGUCUUUUUCUAUCUAUUUUUUUUAAAUAGAAAGAAUAAGCUUUUACACUAUAAAUAUGCUAGUCCUUUCAUGAUUGUGUGAUAGGUGGUGCAUGGCCGUUCUUAGUUCGUGAAGUGAUUUGUCUGCUUAAUUGCGUUUCGGAAAAAAAAGUGUUUUGACACCUUUAGGCGUUUAUUUUUUCUGUUCUUUUUUUAUUUAGUUAAUCUAUUUUCUUCGGAAAAUGAUAGUUACUUUAUACAAAAAAGAAUGAAAUUGACCCUAUUAGGUGUGGAUCACUUUGAAGGCAACGAACGUGACCG